AUUGAAGACAUGAGUGAGAGAAUCAUCAGCUUUCGUGAGAACUGCCAGAAAGGAGAAAGGAUGCCAUGGAAGAUCAUCUGCCCCUCCUCUGGAACAGGCGGUAGCAGCAUAAACUCGUGAUGUGACUGUAAACAAUACGGAAAUGAAGCAGUCUAAGAGGGAAGCGCCGUUCUCUCCUCUAACUGAUCUCUCACUACAAAGCUCAAAGUGUUCCCGAUAAGAAGUAGACUGCAUUUCUGAUACUUGUCAAUUGUUUAAGGUCUCAAGCUUAUCAGCUUUUAGCCUGGAACUAUGCCAUCAGCUUACACCAUCUGGUUUUUAGGCCUUCAGACUCUGAGUGGAACUGGAACUACACUGCUAGCUUUCACGAGAAGAAAAUUGGAAUUGUACAGAGGACUGAGGUGGAGAAAAGACAGAGUCUAACGUCAUAUUUGGAUCCUUCAUUUAUUCCUCAACUCAGCCAUCACUACUGUCUUAUUUCAUUCUCAUGCUGCUAUGAAGAAAUACUGAGGUGGGGUAAUUUAUAAUGGAAAGACACUUAAUUGGAUCACAGUUCCACAGGGCUGAGGAGGCCUCAGGAAACAUACAAUCAUGGAGGAAGGGGAAGAAAACACAUCCUACUUCACAUGGUGGCAAGAAGAAGAAGUGUUGAGCCAACAGGGGAAAAGCCCUUUUCUCAUCAGAUCUCAUGAGAACUCAUACACUAUCACGAGGACAGCAGCAUGGGGAUAACUACCCCCAUGAUUCAAUUACUCCCACCAGAUCCCUCCCAUGACACAUGGGUUUUAUGGGAGCUACAAUUCAAGAUGAGAUUUGGGUGGGGACACAGCCAAACCACAUCAACUUACUGAAUACUUUCUGUGUAUGUCUAAUAAUUUUGAUAUAGUUCUACUGUCUUUCCCCUGAUGGCUUUGCUUAGGGAUGUUUAUAAAUGAAAUUACUCAUCCUGUCACCAAAUUGUGAUCAAAGAUGAACAGAUCUGACUCAUUGUGGUGGUGAUGAUAAUAAUAAUCCAAAUUCUAUCCCCUCUGUUGUCAGUUUAAUCCUACCAUAACAUGGUGACCUGGGGAUUAAGCCUGACUAGCCACAGGGCUAACACAGGGGAAUAAUUCAUGAGAAUGACAAUUCAGACUCAGCCAAGGUUGCAUUUUUAUCAGUUCAUUGUUGAACCAUCAAUCAAAUGAGACCAAAGGUAACCACAAUACCGAGGAUACACAGAAGCUCACAUUGGGAUUAAUCUUCUGGUCCUUCUGAUCUCACAGGGACAGCUCUAAGUUAUGUUAUUUCAAUAGCCCUCUUAGAAUAACAUGGGAAGAUCCUAAAAUUGCUGCCUUGAGGUAGGGGAGGAACUCCACGUCAGUCUUUCAGAGUUCAUGCCAGUAACACAUUAAUAACAACAACAACAAAAAAAAACGUGCACUGAAGCUUCAUACUUUAAAUGCCAUUUGUUGUUGAAUCAUCGAGUCUACUUAAAUUUUUCUUCUAACAGAUCACAGACUACCAUGGUAGAUUUACUCUUAUAAUUCAUUUAAUAAAGAGACUUAAUUCAAAGAUUUAUGAAAAUAAUAACAACAAAAAUUGUUUAAAGUUUAUUUUUCUUCACCAACUGCUGUCCUGAGACAUGUUGCAUAGGUUCUCCCUCCAUUCCCUGUUGAAGGUAUUUUAGACAUAGCCCAUAGGUUUCCCAAUCACUUUUUAGUCAUAAGAACACAGGUCAUUUUAGAAAUGAAAACACUCUGGAUUCAGGAAUAUCCAAGAUUUCAAUCUUCAAUCUAGUUCACAAUAUCUCCUUUUCCCCAAGUUAAGGAAUAUAAGGUGGAGAAAUAAAAUAGUUGUACCUUCAGUAUUUAUUUUUCAUGUAUAUCUGCCUCCAUACUUCAUGCAGCAGGUGGGUGGGGCAGGAGGAGGUGCAAAGAUUAGAGAAGAGGGAAAUGAAUUCUACUGAGCUGGUUCUGUCUGUGGUGUUCUCUUGCCCAACAGUACCUAGUCAGCAUACUCUCUGUGGGGCAGGAGUUCUAACAUUAAAUUUUGAGUGUACACAGCUGUAGCUUCCUUAGAACUAUUUCUGUCCCUUGCUCUGUCAUGGACACCUUUGCACUGGUCAGCUCUGUGGGGACAGGAAAUGCACCCUUCAGACAAUUUUCUCAUCUCCCCAGGUAGCCCUAUGGGAAGAAUCCAUUCAGAGUGAUGUCAGAGACCGUGUUAUAAUUCCAGUUCUGCACCCCAUUGUUUUCCUUCCCUAUGCUACAACACUUAGCAGCAUCUACUCACUUUGGGGUAUACUUCCUGCCUCUUGACUUUGGAUUUGUCUAUUUGACUUACUCUGACCAAUAGAAUAAAGAUGAAAUGAUAUUAUACCCAUGUUAGCAAAAGCCUCGGCAGGAUUUUCAUGUUUGUUUCUUCUUUUGUUCUCUGUCAUUACCAGGAGAAGAAUAUCCUCAGCCUAGACUGUAGUUAUGAAAAAGGUGAUGACAAACACGAAGCAGUGCCACCAGCCACACCCAGCCUAGAUGACCAGGUACUAGCUUGCACAGGCAGACCUAUGAGUGGGCCUAGCAGGGACCAGCAGGGAAGCCAGCCUGGGCCUGUCCUGUGUUAUCUGAAUCCUAUCCAACCUUCCAUCUCAUGAGCCAAACAGAUACUCCUCAUUGUAUAGCACAGAGAUUAUGUGGAUGUGUGCUUAGGACAGUACUAUGGUGCAGUUAUUAACUGACACGAUUAAUUACCUUUGUGUCAUAAUUCACCUACCUGAAAUCCCUGCACUUUUAUUAUGUCAAAUAUGGAAAGCAUUUGCUGCUGCUAUGCUUCUUGUCCUGACUUUAUAAAUUACUUCCCACAUCCAUUCUGUCCUUUCUUAUAUGGGAGGUUGGCAAACAUUUUCUGUAAAGGGCCUGCUAAUACAUUUCUUACAGAUUGUAUGCUGUCUGCCUCCAUUUAUCUAUGCUAUUAUAAUGUGAAAGCAGCCGUAGAAAACAAAACAAUAAAUGGUGAGAUGUGGGUAUGUUUCAGUAAAAUUUUAUUUAUAAAAGCAGACAAUAGACUGGGUUUGGACCAUGGGUCAUAGUUUGUUAACCCAGCUUUAUGGUAACAAAAUCUGUUACCAUGGUAGCAAUGGGCAUAUGACUGCUUUGCUGAAACAUUAUCAUAUUCCUGCCUACUUUCCAGAUACAUGGCAAAAUAUCCAGUCAAUUUACUGUCAUAAAAAUAUUAUUUAAUAUCCUUAAGUCCCUGGCACAUCUCUGGCCCUUCUCCCACCUUUUCCCCUGGUAGAACUUGUACCAAAAGGAGAGAAGAUGCCUACACCUAGAGGAGUAAGCUCAAAAGAGCCAGGGUCUCUGACAAGUUCAUGAACUCACAACCAGUUUGGUCUGCAUAGUUAUGUCCUUCUUUUACAUUAAGUAUUUUUUCUUUUUUUUAAAUCCAUCUAAAUUAAGACUUGUC
rnacentral:lncRNA from 10 species